CAGCCGCCGCGGUAAUACGGAGGGUGCAAGCGUUAUCCGGAUUCACUGGGUUUAAAGGGUGCGUAGGCGGGUAUGUAAGUCAGUGGUGAAAUCUCGGAGCUUAACUCCGAAAUUGCCAUUGAUACUAUAUAUCUUGAAUAUUGUGGAGGUUUGCGGAAUAUGUCAUGUAGCGGUGAAAUGCUUAGAUAUGACAUAGAACACCUAUUGCGAAGGCAGCAGGCUACACAUAUAUUGACGCUGAGGCACGAAAGCGUGGGGAUCAAACAGGAUUAGAUACCCUGGUAGUCCACGCCCUAAACGAUGGAUACUCGACAUACGCGAUACACUGUGUGUGUCUGAGCGAAAGCAUUAAGUAUCCCACCUGGGAAGUACGACCGCAAGGUUGAAACUUAAAGGAAUUGGCGG
rnacentral:rRNA from 1 species